rnacentral:lncRNA from 1 species
CGCGGUUCACUAGCAAAGGACAGAUGUUUACGAUUGAAGUGCUUCCAAGCUUCACCAUCAGAAGGAUGACACAAAACUCCUUCAGUUUUGUUACCAUCAUGCCAUGUCAUGUGUUGUGAUGUUUGCAUUGAAGUAAAGAUUCUUUGUAAUCUUAGAAUAAUGGGCAAGUUAAACAUUGACUUUAAGGGAAUUGGUUUUCUUUGCCUCCUUCCUGCAUGCAUUGUAUGAUAUCGAGGAGAGCCACAAAAAUUGCAUUCAACCAACAAUGCAUCAUUUUUGCCACUGUCAUUGUCAUAGAAUAACAUACAUCCAUUAACACAACAAUCAAUCUUCUUG